AUUGAACGCUGGCGGCGGGCUUAAUACAUGCAAGUCGAGCGAUGAAGUCCUAGCUUGCUCGGGUGGCUGAGUGGGGCGCGGGUGUGAAAUAUAUAAAUAAUCCGCCUUGCACUGAGGAACAACAGUUGGAAACGGUUGCUAAUACCUCAGACCUCAACUUGACAUAGGUUAAGCUUGGAAAGUCUCGUAGUAGCAAGAUGAGACUGUAACGUAUCAGCUAGGUGGUAAGGUAAAGGCGUACCAAGGCGAUGACGCGUAACUCGGAAGAGAGGAUGAGCAGUCAAAUUGGAAGUGAGGCACGGGCCGAGCACCUACGGCAAGGAGCGGUAAGGUAUAUUGUGCAAGGGGGGAAACCGUGGCGCAGCAUCGGCGCGUGGAGGACGACACUUUUCGGAGCGUAAACGCCUUUUGUUAGGGAAGAAUAAUGACGGUACCUAAAGAAUAAGCACCGGCUAACUCCGUG
rnacentral:rRNA from 1 species